GAUGAACGCUGGCGGCGUGCCUAAUACAUGCAAGUCGAGCGAACGGACGAGAAGCUUGCUUUUCUGAUGUUAGCGGCGGACGGGUGAGUAACACGUGGAUAACCUACCUAUAAGACUGGGAUAACUUCGGGAAACCGGAGCUAAUACCGGAUAAUAUUUUGAACCGCAUGGUUCAAAAGUGAAAGACGGUCUUGCUGUCACUUAUAGAUGGAUCCGCGCUGCAUUAGCUAGUUGGUAAGGUAACGGCUUACCAAGGCAACGAUGCAUAGCCGACCUGAGAGGGUGAACGGCCACACUGGACCUGAGACACGGUCCAGACUCCUACGGGAGGCAGCAGUAGGGAAUCUUCCGCAAUGGGCGAAAGCCUGACGGAGCAAAGCCGCGUGAGUGAUGAAGGUCUUCGGAUCGUAAAACUCUGUUAUUAGGGAAGAACAUAUGUGUAAGUAACUGUGCACAUCUUGACGGUACCUAAUCAGAAAGCCACGGCUAACUACGUG
rnacentral:rRNA from 1 species